UACGGGGGGGGCGAGCGUUGUUCGGAAUUACUGGGCGUAAAGGGCGCGUAGGCGGAUGUAUAAGUCAGAGGUGAAAGCCCUUGGCUCAACGAAGGAAGUGCUUUUGAUACUACAUGUCUUGAGUACGGGAGAGGAGAGUGGAAUUUCCGGUGUAGAGGUGAAAUGCGUAGAUAUCGGGAGGAACACCAGUGGCGAAGGCGGCUCUCGGGACCGAUACUGACGCUGAGGCGCGAAAGCGUGGGGAGCAAACAGG
rnacentral:rRNA from 1 species